rnacentral:rRNA from 1 species
GAGGAAGCUCCGGCUAACUACGUGCCAGCAGCCGCGGUAAUACGUAGGGAGCGAGCGUUGUCCGGAAUUAUUGGCGUAAAAGAGCGUGUAGGCGGUUCGGUAAGUCUGUCGUGAAACCCUGGGGCUCAACCCUGGCGUGCGAAUGGAUACUGCCGGGCUAGAGGAUGGUAGAGGCCAGUGGAGUUCCCGGUGUAGCGGUGAAAUGCGCAGAUAUCGGGAGGAACACCAGUAGCGAAGGCGGCUGGCUGGCCAUACCUGACGCUGAGACGCGAAAGCGUGGGAGCGAACAGGAUUAGAACCCUGGUAGUCCACGCCGUAAACGAUGAACACUAGGUGUGGGGAGUCGAAUCCGUCGGGCCGCAGUUAACGCGUUAAGUGUUCCGCCUGGGGAGUACGGCCGCAAGGCUAAAACUCAAAAGAAUGACGGGGGCCCGCACAAGCAGCGGAGCAUGUUCUUUAAUUCGAUGCAACGCGAAGAACCUUACCUGGACUUGACAUGGUGCGCAAGCGCACGGAAACGUGUGACCUUCGAGGGUGCACCACAGAUGCUGCAUGGCUGUCGUCAGCUCGUGUCGUGAGAUGUUGGGUUAAGUCCCGCAACGAGCGCAACCCCUAUAGUGUGUUGCUAACAUUCAGUUGAGGACUCACGCUAGACUGCCGGUGACAAACCGGAGGAAGGUGGGGAUGAGGUCAAGUCAUCAUGGCUCUUACGUCCAGGGCUAGAAACGUGCUACAAUGGCGUACACAAAGGGCAGCGAGACCGCGAGGUGGAGCGAAUCCCAUCAAAGUACGUCUAAGUUCGGAUCGCAGUCUGCAACUCGACUGCGUGAAGGCGGAGUUGCUAGUAAUCGCGGAUCAGAACGCCGCGGUGAAUGCGUUCCCGGGCCUUGUACACACCGCCCGUCACACCAAUUGAGAAGAGCUAAAGCAUAAGGGUGAAUUGGAGCUAGCCGUCGUCAUGCUCGGGGCAGACUCAGAAGAGGUACGGAUCCGCCAUCUUGGGAAACAGUAGAAGACAAGGAUCC